rnacentral:rRNA from 1 species
UGGGGAAUAUUGGACAAUGGGGGCAACCCUGAUCCAGCCAUGCCGCGUGAGUGAUGAAGGCCUUAGGGUUGUAAAGCUCUUUCGCCGGUGAGGAUAAUGACGGUAACCGGUAAAGAAGCCCCGGCUAACUUCGUGCCAGCAGCCGCGGUAAUACGAAGGGGGCUAGCGUUGUUCGGAAUUACUGGGCGUAAAGCGCACGUAGGCGGAUUGAUCAGUCAGGGGUGAAAUCCCGGGGCUUAACCCCGGAACUGCCUUUGAUACUGUCUGUCUAGAGGUCGAGAGAGGUGAGUGGAAUUCCGAGUGUAGAGGUGAAAUUCGUAGAUAUUCGGAGGAACACCAGUGGCGAAGGCGGCUCACUGGCUCGAUACUGACGCUGAGGUGCGAAAGCGUGGGGAGCAAACAGGAUUAGAUACCCGCGUAGUCC